rnacentral:tRNA from 2 species
GCAUUGGUGGUUCAGUGGUAGAAUUUUCGCCUGCCACGCGGGAGGCCCGGGUUCGAUUCCUGGCCAAUGCA